GCUGCGGUAGUUAAAAAUAUAACAAAACCCUGAAGAAGUUUCGUUGAAGUGUUGAGAGACCUUCCCAUAGCA
rnacentral:tRNA from 1 species